rnacentral:lncRNA from 1 species
AAUUUCCUUUCUCAAAACAGAAUUAUUACCAACAAUGGAUCUUUGCCUGACUUAUUUAACUGGUUUUUCAGUGGCUUCACUAUGGAAUUUCCAUCAAUGUCUUCCAGAAAAGGAAAUGUUUUAGAGAAACUUGGGUAAAAAAAAUAUUUUCAUUUUGGUUAAUUUAAGUUUGAACAUAAUUCCAUGAUUCUUUGACUAAUUUUGUACUUCUGAGUUUCUUUUCUCUGAAUACUCAUAGUCAUCCAGCUCCACAUGUCACUGACAGCUUUUCUAUCUAAUUCUACUUCUUCUACUUCAAUAAAAUAGAAGACGGACUGAUUUCUCACCAACUCAGAGGCCUAAUCAAGAGGCUUACAGAAAUGCAGUAUUACUGGAAUCCAGAGACUAGGACUCCUUCCACUCCUGCAGGGUUUCCAGCAGUACUGUGUACUGUUUAACCACAGAUGGCUUCCUCCUCCAAUCUGCAGACAAAGUUGGGCAAAACAGAGAAAACAGUAUCAGUGGCUUUGGAGGCAGAAGAAGGUAUUGGCCAGUGAAAUUAUUUUGGAGUGUGCAAGAUUUAUUUUUCUUUCAGAAAUGAGCUUAGUUUUGUUUGUCUUCAUCAGUGAAACUUGGGACAAGUAUUAAAUAAAAAAUUCGAGUACCACACCCAUAUUCCCAAUUUGCCAAGGCCUAAACAUGGGGUGGCAGAUUUUUACACAUAUCUAAAUAGAGGAAGAAAAAAUUAAUCUUCUAGGCCACUGUCAUGAACACAAGAGGGUUUUACUAAAGAUAAAUGAAUUCUUCUUUCUGCAAGUGGGUGGUUGCUUGUACCUGAUCCAAAUCAAGAUUUCUCUUUUUGUUAGAUUAGAAAAUGUUCUUUGAAAGAUUUGGUUUGUUUUGUUUUUUUAGGCUGCUGAAAACAUACAUAGUCUUUUCUAAAGUUCAGUGCUGCAUGGAACAAACGUGUUCUUCAACUGCAAUUUUCUGUCAUUAAUUUACUUUUAGUUUUUAUAUAAUCACUUGUAUCUUUC